rnacentral:rRNA from 1 species
CUACGUGCCAGCAGCCGCGGUAAUACGUAGGGUGCAAGCGUUGUCCGGAUUUACUGGGCGUAAAGAGCUCGUAGGUGGUGUGUCGCGUCGUCUGUGAAAUUCCGGGGCUUAACUCCGGGCGUGCAGGCGAUACGGGCACGACUAGAGUGCUGUAGGGGUAACUGGAAUUCCUGGUGUAGCGGUGAAAUGCGCAGAUAUCAGGAGGAACACCGAUGGCGAAGGCAGGUUACUGGGCAGUUACUGACGCUGAGGAGCGAAAGCAUGGGGAGCGAACAGGAUUAGAUACCCUGGUAGUCCAUGCUGUAAACGGUGGGCGCUAGGUGUGGGCUGUGUGUUUGCAGUCUGUGCCGUAGCUAACGCAUUAAGCGCCCCGCCUGGGGAGUACGGCCGCAAGGCUAAAACUCAAAGGAAUUGACGGGGGCCCGCACAAGCGGCGGAGCAUGUGGAUUAAUUCGAUGCAACGCGAAGAACCUUACCUGGGUUU